rnacentral:rRNA from 1 species
UACGUAGGGGGCAAGCGUUGUCCGGAUUUAUUGGGCGUAAAGAGCUCGUAGGCGGUUCCGUAAGUCGUGAAGUCAAAUCUCUGGGCUCAACCCAGAAUCGCUUCCGAUACUGCGGUGACUGGAGUCCGGUAGGGGAGUGUGGAAUUCCUGGUGUAGCGGUGAAAUGCGCAGAUAUCAGGAGGAACACCAACAGCGAAGGCAGCACUCUGGGCCAGUACUGACGCUGAGGAGCGAAAGCGUGGGGAGCGAACAGG